AUGUCAACGUCUUGAGGUUUUUCUUCAACUUGGGUGUCAAGGUAAGACAGAACCAGAGUAGAACCUGUCAGUAUCACACCAUCAUUAAGUUUACUUUAACUUUAACCACUUAAGGAACACCCUUCACUAAACAGUAUAUACUCACUGUUGGAAAGCUGAGACUGUCGUGAUUAUUUUAAGCCCAAAAAAGUUAUUUCCAGACCAUGUAAUAACCUUCUAAACUCACCAUGACACAUUAGAAAGAGCCUUCUACCGCAAAAAGCAAGAAUGCCUACAUACCUUCGGAGUGUUCCCUUUUUCCACAGCUACAACGUCAUGCCACAUUUUUUUUUUCAUAGUUCGCCAAGAGUCCAUAGAAUGGGAAUAUCCAUGUCUUUUUACCCAAAACUAGCUACAAGUGUCGAACAAGCAAGAAACCCUGCAGGGUCUUAGCUUUCAUUUGAGACCAAGAUUAUGUUUCUAGGUAAAGGGGUUCUCAAGUUAUAAGCCUUUGAAUCUCAGUAGGCGCUCUUGGAAAAAAAUGACCCAAGCAAAACGCACAGACAUGCCUUUAGAAAAACAAUUGUGAAAAAUCUUGACUCAAAUUUUGAGUGUAGCAAGCUGACACCUGUGGCUAUGGCCUAAUUGUGUCUGCUGUGCCCAUGACAUACCUGAACCCUUAUAUCUUAGUCAGUUCAUUGAUAUUUGAAUUGGACGGAAACCAAAACCUGUGUUCAAACCUCUGUAACUCUGUGUCAGUAUGUCAUAGAAUCACACUUACACUUAAAGAAAAACUUGAGGGUGUUACCUUUCCAGUGGUACCAAGCACAUCCCUGAGUCUCAAACUAUGUGGGAGCUGUCAUGCUUUUAAUUUCGGUAUGUCGUUUUGGAAAAAGAACCUUAAAAUGGGGGCGUUCACUAAGUGGUUAAACUUCACUGUUUUCAAACUUGAACUUGUUACUGGUAGAAAGCAGUGACACUCUCCUCUCUCCUCUCCAGUCCUACUCCAUGCCCAUGUUCCCUCCCUACAUAUACCUCCUCCCGCUCCAGCAGGCCCACACCGUGCACCCCAAGUUCCCCUCCCGCUCCCCCUCCCCUGCUCCUGCCCCCCACUACCCUGCACCUAACCGCCCCCCCAGUCACCAGGAGGCCUACUCCCAGUACCCUCCCACUUCAGCAGCUGUGGGGCUUCAGUACGACCACCAAGCCCCGCUCGCUGAACCCGCCCAUCCUGGCGACCACUCUUAUAACCAGGCCGGGUACCCCGUCGCCCAGUCGCCACACCAGAGGAUGCCCUGCCCCUCGCUGUCAUGGCAACAUCACCAGAUGCCCCCACCCAGAAACCCCAACUUUACAGUUGGAUAUCCAGCACCAAGUCCACCGUAUCCGGUACAUCAGCCCAUGUCUCAGGGGUACCACGCGGGUCAAGGCUCGGGACACCCAAUGUACCCUGCGAGUGUGUCUCCGUACCCACCGUCCUCAUUGGGAUAUCAGUCUUCACCUGCACAUGAAGAGAUCCAGGUGAGCCAGGGGCCAAUGGAGCAGCGUCAGCCCACCAACGGGGACACAGUGCCUGGGCAAGGGUCCCGCCGAGUCCCUGGUCCUUCUGCUGCUAACUUGGCUAAUGCUAACAACAGCAGAGCGGUCGUGGUUCCUAGUUAUGAGGGAGCCAAAGUACAAAAUGUCUCAGUGCCGCUUCUAAUGGGACGUUCUUGUUUCCCAUCAGCCCUCACGAAGGAGCCGGGAGACGGUUUGACCCGAACCGUGCUGCUGGUGGACCCGCCACUCAACCCCAACAAUCCCAUACUGGUCUCAAACCCUGGCGUCAAGGAUGUUCCUGUCUCCAUGACAACCAUUAAGACCGGCAGCACUCCCGGCUCUCCAAUACCUUACGACAUCAUCAAGACGACCUUCCCAGGUGAUAACAACCCCACACGUGGUUACCGAGGCCACCAAAAACUACUUCCCCCCAGCAAGAUGGUCUCACUGGGGGCACCGGAGCCCGGCCAGGUGAGCUACCUGUCGACCGGCGCCAUGGCAGAGCCGCUGUCUGUCGGCUGCAGCACGGAGGACGACUGGGACGAGCAGCCGGGAUAUAAACCGCCGCCGCCGAGCUACAGAGGGCAGAGGAGGAACCCCAGAGCAGGUGGAGGAGGGAGAGGGAGGGGAAGCAGUGAUCAAGGAAGAGGGUCGUACAGGAGGAGACAUGGUGGAGACGCAGGGGGCGGGUACGGCUACAUCCAGUAUAACUCCUCCUACAGGGGGCGGGGCCGCGAGAGAGGAUACUAAGCUCUCAGCCAAAGAGAAGUGAGGACAUAGGACCCCCCCACCCCCCACAAGCUUGUUUGGUUUCUGCUUUGGACACUUCCUGCUUCUUUCUGCGGCCUGUGUUUUCACCUGAUUGAUGGACAAGAUUGAUUUCACGUAGAAAAUGGAUGCAAGAACCAAUCAGUUCGAUCAGUCUCCUCAUCGUUGUGCCUUCGCCUGCCUUUCUUCAGAAAACCUGAAAGUCCGUGUGUGUAUUUAAGAGUGUCGAAAUGCUCAUGAACACUACUCUUCAUCAAGCUCGUUGUUAGCUAGCUCGUUAGCAUACCGUGUUAGCAAGUUUACGUGUCACUUUAUGGAUUGGAGAAAAACAACCUGAGUGCUUUGAAGACUACAGACAUGUUCAGAGUAGAGCUGUGUAGUUUGUCGCCACGUUUGAUGUGAUGCUGGAACAUGUCUGAGGUUCUUUUGCAAAUUUUGUUCUCUGAAUUUUGAUAUGUCAUCACAUUUUUCUUUCAAGGAAUAGUCAGAAAUGUUUGUUAAAUUUCAUCUUUCUUGCCGAGAGUGAAGCUGCUGUCUGUUAGCUUAGCUUAGCAAAAAGACUGGAAAUGAGAGUAAACAAAAAUAGUUCUACAUUUAAUGGAAAUGUCGUCUCAUCCACCAACAUUUCCAUUAAAUGUUGAACUAUUUUUCAUCUUUCUUGUCGAGAGUGAAGCUGCUGUCGCUUAGCUUAGCUUAGCAUUAAGACUGGAAAUGAGAGUAAACAAAAAUAGCUCUACAUUUAAUGGGAAUGUUGCUGGAUGAGACGAUUGUAUCAAUCGUCUCAUCCAGCAACAUUUCCAUUAAAUGUAGAGCUAUUUUUCAGCUUUAUAAUCAAGAGUGAAGCUGCUGUCACUUAGCUUCGCUUAGCAUUAAGACUGGAAAUGAGAGUUCUUCUCUAGGAAUUCAAAAUUCCGACUCUUCACAAUCCCUCCAAGGUAGCGUAACAUCUGGGAGCGCAGCAUGUCAAUAAAGCUUUCGAUAUUCAAGUGUAUUUCAGCAAAAAACAUGACAAGCACCAACCAAGUACAGCGAGCACUUCCUCCAAGCGUCUGUCAGCACUGUGAGCUAAAAACAAACAAGUUGAUUUCAUAUCACAACAAAUAAUUUGGGAGCUGCUUGAGAACCACCACAGUAUCUUUAUGACUCUGUCAGAGGAGCUCAUCGAAGCUGUGCGGAUGUUUUCUUUAGGUUUGUUAUUUUAAUUGUCGUCUGGUUCCUAGUUUUCCUGUUUUCCUUUCACCACUUUGGGUAAAAGACUGUAGAUUCAGUGCCUUAUGUUUGCUACUUUUUACUGUCACACUUCUUCCUCCUGUGAGUUUGGGAAACGCUGCUGUACAGAACAAAAGCUUUUGUUGUUUGUGUUGGAUUUUUCUAUGCGGUUGAAUAAAUAAACUUUGGUUCAGAAGCUGCUGCUCCUGUUGUCUCUUGGUUUUCUGGUUAAAUCAGGACUUCCUGCUGGAGUCUGUUGUCAGUUUGUCUGAGUAUUACCUGGUAUCAUCAUCAUGUUGAGUCACAAUCACCUUAAGACUGAUUUUAAACUGAAAGACUGCUCAAGUAAGUAACUUUAAAUAUAUUUUUGUUUACAACCAAAUCAUAAUUGGGGAAUUUUUGGGGAAUUCAGACUUUUUUUUCUCCCUACGAAAUUUUAGUUUUAGGGAAUUUUGCGUUUUUUCCCUCAAAAUUCUGCCUUUUGUACGAUUUCUGACUUUUUCUCGAUUCUGAAUUUUUGGGGGAUUUCGGACUUAUUUGAGAAUGAAGACUUUGACUCAAAAUUCUGCUCUUUAUUGAAGUUCCGACUAUUUUUUAGUACUCUGACUUUUUCUUGGAAUUCAGACCUUUUCGGGAGAACUAUGACUUAUUUGGGAAUUCUAACACUUCUGGAAUUAUUAUUUUUUCAGUUAAAAUUCUUCUUCAGUUAGACUUCUUAUAUAUUCUGACUUUUUCUGGGAAUUCUCACCUGAGUCCUCUGGUUAAUUCUGAC
rnacentral:lncRNA from 1 species